AAGGAUCUCUUCUGGAGAUUACCUCUCUUGGUGUUUGGUGGUGAGCUCAGCUGAAGGUUUCAAGAUUCUUCUCACAGUUCCAGCCUCCCCGCUCCUCCGCUCCUGUUAUAAUCAGUUUUUAGCAGUGGCUCAUAACCCUGAUUAUUUCCCCAGUACUGACGUGGCAAUAGAAGAACACUGAGACCAUGAAGAAGGGUCUUCCUGUGUUCAACUCCAGUGCUUGCUCCUACAGCAAUCUGGAGUGGCAGCAGCAAGUCCAGCUCAACAUCUUGGUGAGGAAAGACUCUGAAGAGAUCACAGGUGCCACUGUGACCAGGCAUUUCUGAACACGUGCAAAGAAUGGGUUUCACUUAUCAUGCUGGUAGUUCAUCAGGGAGAUUACAAAAGGCUCGUCCUUGACAGAGAGCCUAUUCUGCUGCCAAAUUUUAAGUCUUUCAUCCACAUCAUUAAAUACACAGCAGCUUCUGAACAAAAUGAUUAAGUACUUUAAGCAGGAUCACAACCAUUUAAAAUAAAUGUAUUCAAAAGAUAGCACCACUAAACACCCUGACUUUAUCAGAUAUUCUUGACAUGAGAUCACCUGACUGAAUCUUAACAUGGGAGAAAAUUAACUUUUACACCAACUGGUUAUGUUCCUAUCAGUUGUAUAGACACGUAACGUAACAUUCACUCUUACAAGGAAAUUAUUUACUUGGGAAAUGAAAGAGUGCUUACUUUUGGUAGCCUGAUGAAUGAUACCUUAUGUGAUAUUUUCUGUUAGAGUCUCUCUAAUGACCUGUAAACUUGUUAAAUGAUUUCAAAUAAAUUUAAAGGAAGGA